UGAUGAUGGUGAGGGAAAUUUUUGAGUAUACCCUCAUAUCUCUCCCAAGCUUGGUAGAUAUUCUCUUUUUCUUUCUAUCUAAAACUCAGAAUCUCACUUCUCAAAUG
rnacentral:snoRNA from 1 species